rnacentral:lncRNA from 1 species
AAUGAUAUAUACACCAAAAAGACCCCAGGACUUGUGUAGAUUUGACCAUAUGUGCCUGUGGACUAAUGAGCAUAACAAACCAUGUUAGACCCCAAUAGAUUGCUUUAGACCCCUAUACACAUCAGUUGGAUCAAUUGGAGGGAAACCACCUCCCGUGGUGCUAAGUUUUAUUUCGGUGGUGCUUAUAUUUUUCUUGAAUGAUAUAUACACCAAAAUACCCCAGGACUUGUGUAGAUUUGACCAUAUGUGCCUGUGGACUAAUGAGCUUAACAAACCAUCUUAGACCCCAAUAGAGUGCUUUAAACCCCUAUACAUGUUAGUUGGACCAAUUGGAGGGAAGCUACCUCCUGUCGUGCUAAGUUUUUUUUCGGUGGUGCUUAUAUUUUUUUUAAAUUAAAAAUACCCUUAAAGAGGACCACAUGGACUUGUAGAUUGGACCCAAGAGGCAUGUGGACCAAUGAGCCUUACAAACCAACUAGGACUCACGAAGAGUGUUAUACACCCAUAUACUUGUCUGUUGGACCAGCGGGAAGGUAGCUAUUUCCUGUUGUGAAAUGUUCCCCCAUGACUUAAAGAUUGGACCAGAGGUGUCUGUAAUUUACAAGCUUCACAAAGUUUGGACCCAAACCCUGGAUGUAAGACCUUAAGACAGAAGCUUCCUCCUCUGGUGCUUAGUUCAUUUUAGGUGGUGCUUUAAAUUAAACAACAUUUUCAAUGAAAAAACAUUCCGGUAGACUUUUAAAUUGGACAAGAUAUCCCGUUAGGGCCUUUGUAAUAAUUAUUUGAACCUAAACAGUUAAUUAGACAACCAAACAUGCCUAUAAAAUGUGGAGCUCAAUGUGGGCUGAACAAACCGGAUGUUUUGAUUUAAUUGACCAUGCGCAGAUAUAACUACGAGUUUUCGAUCCAUAACAAAGAAAAAGCUAGAAAUAAAUCGAAAAAAAAAAUGACUGAGACCUUGUCUCAAUCAUAAAACAGGUUACCAGAAAAAUGAUAAUCCAAUCAAACGGUGGUGCUUAUAGUGGUUUUCAUCACGUUUUGAUAUAUAUAUU